GAGGGUGACAGGUGGUGCAUGGUUGUCGUCAGCUCGUGUCGCGAGAUGUUGGGUUAAGUCCCGCAACGAGCGCAACCCUCGACCUUAGUUGCCAGCAUUCAGUUGGGCACUCUAAGGUGACUGCCGGCUAAAAGUCGGAGGAAGGUGGGGAUGACGUCAAAUCAUCAUGCCCCUUAUGACCUGGGCUACACACGUGCUACAAUGGGCGGUACAAAGGGUCGCGAACCCGCGAGGGGGAGCCAAUCCCAAAAAGCCGCUCUCAGUUCGGAUUGCAGGCUGCAACUCGCCUGCAUGAAGCCGGAAUCGCUAGUAAUCGCGGAUCAGCAUGCCGCGGUGAAUACGUUCCCGGGCCUU
rnacentral:rRNA from 1 species